CAAUAUUGGUUACGAAAAUUUCAUUUCAGAAGAAAAUCGAAAAUUUUUACGAAAAUUUAACAUAUCUGAAUUUUUUACGGGAAAGAUACGGGAGCUUAGGAGAACGAUGGCACAUAUAAAACUAGGGUUAGAAAUAGUGCAAAAUAUCAGAAUAUAACAAUUUAUUAACAUAGAACAAAGAGAAUAAACAAUACAUUUACAAAUAUUACAUAUACUUAAUAUGUAUGUGUAUCUCUAUACCAAUAAACCAUCCUAUAAAGGGAAACCAUCCUAUAAAGGGAAACCAUCCAAAACGUUUGAGUGCGAAUUUUCCUCAACUUUAACGGAAAGCUUUCCUUCGAAUGCUCCUAGAAUCAUUGUACGAAUUGAUUCUUCAGAAACGACUGUUCUCUGGGCUGACUUCAUAGUGAUCGUUUUGCCUUACCUUACGAAUAUGAGAGUUUCCGCGGUCAGCAAGAAUCGGAAUUAGUACGUACUGAGGAAAAAGAAUAUGUGGUUACAUCCCGACGAUGAAAAAAUAUUCAUGCCAGUACAAUUAACAUGCCAAGUGCCAAGAAUUAAUAUUAAAUCUAAAACAUUAUCGUGUAUAAAAAAUAUAUUAAGAUUAUUGCCUCAUUCCACUGAUCCAUUAUCGUUUGAAAAGGAAUGUUCUCUUUUCUUCUCUAAAAAAAAUGUAAUAAACAAUUAAUUUCUCUUUCUUAGGCAACUUACAAUUACUUUCAUUAUUGCGCGAUUUUGCCAUUCUCAUACUUGUCUACCUUGGAUAGGAAAGUAGAUAUAAACUUUUCCGUACGACCGUACAAUUAAAUAGGUUCUUGUAGAAUGGAACUCAAUAGGUUUCUGUCUAUGCUAGUGUGCAAACAAACAGAGCAGAUUUAUAACUUUAAACUUAAAUGCAUAGGUUCUUAUAUAUGUUAAAUAGCAACCGAACGGAGUAGAUCCCUACUUUGAUAGGUUCUUAUAUAUGCUAACGUUCAUUCUCUUUUAAACGUGAUAAAAAUAUGAACACAAAAACGUUACCCACACAAUAUUUUUUUUAUUUAUUUACAUCACUUUCUAUUGCGAAUUACAAAUUUUAGCUUUUUUGUCAACUUGAUCUGCAUGCUACAUUAACAAAUUACAUAUUUUAAAUCUACUGUAUACAAUUCCUUGCAGUCAAGUAAAUUUGUUGCAAUUAUACUCUUAAUUUCUAUAUUCAAUUUUUAUCAUGUUAAACAGCUUUUUAGAUAAUCUUACAAUACAAGCAAUAAAAAAUAAAAUUCUGCGCUCUUAAAAUAUGUGGAUUUUCUUUUCCCAAAUU
rnacentral:misc_RNA from 1 species